rnacentral:rRNA from 1 species
UCCUUGUCGGGUAAGUUCCGACCUGCACGAAUGGCGUAAUGAUGGCCAGGCUGUCUCCACCCGAGACUCAGUGAAAUUGAACUCGCUGUGAAGAUGCAGUGUACCCGCGGCAAGACGGAAAGACCCCGUGAACCUUUACUAUAGCUUGACACUGAACAUUGAGCCUUGAUGUGUAGGAUAGGUGGGAGGCUUUGAAGUGUGGACGCCAGUCUGCAUGGAGCCGACCUUGAAAUACCACCCUUUAAUGUUUGAUGUUCUAACGUGGACCCGUAAUCCGGGUUGCGGACAGUGUCUGGUGGGUAGUUUGACUGGGGCGGUCUCCUCCUAAAGAGUAACGGAGGAGCACGAAGGUUGGCUAAUCCUGGUCGGACAUCAGGAGGUUAGUGCAAUGGCAUAAGCCAGCUUGACUGCGAGCGUGACGGCGCGAGCAGGUGCGAAAGCAGGUCAUAGUGAUCCGGUGGUUCUGAAUGGAAGGGCCAUCGCUCAACGGAUAAAAGGUACUCCGGGGAUAACAGGCUGAUACCGCCCAAGAGUUCAUAUCGACGGCGGUGUUUGGCACCUCGAUGUCGGCUCAUCACAUCCUGGGGCUGAAGUAGGUCCCAAGGGUAUGGCUGUUCGCCAUUUAAAGUGGUACGCGAGCUGGGUUUAGAACGUCGUGAGACAGUUCGGUCCCUAUCUGCCGUGGGCGCUGGAGAACUGAGGGGGGCUGCUCCUAGUACGAGAGGACCGGAGUGGACGCAUCACUGGUGUUCGGGUUGUCAUGCCAAUGGCACUGCCCGGUAGCUAAAUGCGGAAGAGAUAAGUGCUGAAAGCAUCUAAGCACGAAACUUGCCCCGAGAUGAGUUCUCCCUGAGACUUAGAGUCUCCUGAAGGAACGUUGAAGACGACGACGUUGAUAGGCCGGGUGUGUAAGCGCAGCGAUGCGUUGAGCUAACCGGUACUAAUGAACCGUGAGGCUUAACCUUACA